UACGUAGGGGGCGAGCGUUGUCCGGAAUCAUUGGGCGUAAAGCGCGUGUAGGCGGCUCGAUAAGUCCGGUGUGAAAUCUUGGGGCUCAACCCCAAGCCUGCACUGGAUACUGUCGAGCUUGAGUCCGGGAGGGGAGAGCGGAAUUCCUAGUGUAGCGGUGAAAUGCGCAGAUAUUAGGAGGAACACCAAUGGCGAAGGCAGCUCGCUGGGACGGUACUGACGCUGAGGCGCGAAAGCGUGGGGAGCAAACAGG
rnacentral:rRNA from 1 species